rnacentral:rRNA from 1 species
ACGAACGCUGGCGGCAGGCCUAACACAUGCAAGUCGAGCGCUACCUUCGGGUGGAGCGGCGGACGGGUUAGUAACGCGUGGGAAUAUGCCCUUCUCUACGGAAUAGCCUCGGGAAACUGAGAGUAAUACCGUAUACGCCCUUCGGGGGAAAGAUUUAUCGGAGAAGGAUUAGCCCGCGUAAGAUUAGAUAGUUGGUGGGGUAAUGGCCUACCAAGUCUACGAUCUUUAGCUGGUUUUAGAGGAUGAUCAGCAACACUGGGACUGAGACACGGCCCAGACUCCUACGGGAGGCAGCAGUGGGGAAUCUUAGACAAUGGGCGAAAGCCUGAUCUAGCCAUGCCGCGUGAGUGAUGAAGGCCUUAGGGUCGUAAAGCUCUUUCGCCAGGGAUGAUAAUGACAGUACCUGGUAAAGAAGCCCCGGCUAACUCCGUGCCAGCAGCCGCGGUAAUACGGAGGGGGCUAGCGUUGUUCGGAAUUACUGGGCGUAAAGCGCACGUAGGCGGAUCAGAAAGUAAGGGGUGAAAUCCCGAGGCUCAACCUCGGAACUGCCUCUUAAACUCCUGGUCUUGAGUUCGAGAGAGGUGAGUGGAAUUCCAAGUGUAGAGGUGAAAUUCGUAGAUAUUUGGAGGAACACCAGUGGCGAAGGCGGCUCACUGGCUCGAUACUGACGCUGAGGUGCGAAAGUGUGGGGAGCAAACAGGAUUAGAUACCCUGGUAGUCCACACCGUAAACGAUGAAUGCCAGACGUCGGGUAGCAUGCUAUUCGGUGUCACACCUAACGGAUUA